rnacentral:lncRNA from 1 species
CCACUCGGCUCUCCAGGAGGCGUGGCAGCGCAGGCUCCGCCCCCAGGCUGCCUAAUCAACCCACGCAGGCUCCACCCAAUCAAUCCACGCCCUCCCCCCUUAACCCCACCCCCCCACUNNNNNNNNNNNNNNNNNNNNNNNNNNNNNNNNNNNNNAUCACUGCUCAGCUCUCUCGAGGAGGCGUGGCAGCGCAGGCUCCACCCAAUCAACCCACGCCCUCCCCCCUAAACCCCGCCCCCCGCGCCCUCUCGCCCAAUCACCACUCGGCUCUCCAGGAGGCGUGGCAGCGCAGGCUCCGCCCCCAGGCUGCCCCCCCCGCUCUUGGCCCUGAGGAGCAGCGCCAGGUCGGUGACGUAGUGCAGCAUGGCGCCCGCCCGCACCCCCAGCAGCGACACGCCCUGCAAAAUGCACCCAAAAAAGCCCUUUUCCCACCCAAAAUCCCCACCCUUCACCCCGCAGCCGACAGGAGGAAGGACGACCCGACCCAAAUCUGCAAGAAUUUCACCCAAAAUUGCAGCAAAACCGCCUCGAAAUCAGGUGGGAAGCGAGACCGUGCCCCAAAAUGCACCCAAAUUCGGCCCCAAAUCCCACAGAUUGUGACCCAAAAUCCCCCAAAUGUGGCAGUCCCCCAAAGUGUGCCCCAAAUCCUCCAAAUUGUGCCCCAAAUCCCCCAAAUUGAGCCCCAAAUCCCCAAAAUUGGGCCCAAAAUCCCCCAAAUUGGGCCCAAAAUCCCACAAAUUCUGCCCCAAAUCCCCAAAAUUGGGCCCCAAAUCCCCAAAAUGGUGCCCCAAAAUCCCACAAAUUGGGCCCAAAAUCCCACAAAUUGGGCCCAAAAUCCCACAAAUUGGGUCCCAAAUCCCCAAUAUGUCCCAAAAUCCCCCAAAUUGGGCCCAAAAUGCCCCAAAUUGGGCCCCAAAUCCCCAAAAUUGUGCCCCAAAUCCUCCAAAUUGGGCCCCAAAUCCCCCAAAUUGGGCCCCAAAUCCCCAAAAUUGGACCCCAAAUCCCCCAAAUUGUGCCCCAAAUCCUCCAAAUUGUGCCCCAAAUCCCCCAAAUUGGGCCCCAAAUCCCCAAAAUGGUGCGCAAAAUCCCCCAAAUUGUGCCCCAAAUCCCACAAAUUACCCCAAGUUUACUCCACAAAGUGCCUGAAAAUCCCCCAAAUUGCCCCAAAUACCCCAAAAUUGGGCCCAAAAUCCCCAAUAUGUCCCCAA